ACUCAAAGGAAUUGACGGGGGCCCGCACAAGCGGAGGAACAUGUGGUUUAAUUCGAUGAUACGCGAGGAACCUUACCUGGGCUCGAACGCGGAGGGAAUGUAGGUGAAAGCUUACAGCUAGCAAUAGCCGUCUGCGAGGUGCUGCAUGGUUGUCGUCAGCUCGUGCCGUGAGGUGUCGGCUUAAGUGCCAUAACGAGCGCAACCCUUAUCAUUAGUUGCCAGCGGGUUAAGCCGGGGACUCUAAUGAAACUGCCAGCGUAAGCUGUGAGGAAGGCGGGGAUGACGUCAAAUCAGCACGGCCCUUACGUCCAGGGCUACACACGUGUUACAAUGGAUGGUACAGAGGGCAGCUACUUCGCGAGAAGAUGCUAAUCUCCAAAGCCAUUCUCAGUUCGGAUCGGAGUCUGCAACUCGACUCCGUGAAGCUGGAUUCGCUAGUAAUCGCAUAUCAGCCACGAUGCGGUGAAUACGUUCCCGGGCCUUGUACACACCGCCCGU
rnacentral:rRNA from 1 species